ACCAGGAUGGCCGAGUGGUUAAGGCGUUGGACUUAAGAUCCAAUGGACAUAUGUCCUCGUGGGUUCGAACCCCACUCCUGGUA
rnacentral:tRNA from 3 species